rnacentral:rRNA from 1 species
CCUACGGGUGGCAGCAGUAGGGAAUAUUGCUCAAUGGGGGAAACCCUGAUGCAGCAACGCCGCGUGGGGGAUGAAGGUUUUCGGCUUGUACACUCCUUUUGUUAGAGAAGAUAAUGACGGUAUCUAACGAAUAAGCACCGGCUAACUCCGUGCCAGCAGCCGCGGUAAUACGGAGGGUGCAAGCGUUACUCGGAAUCACUGGGCGUAAAGAGCGCGUAGGCGGGAUAGCAAGUCAGAUGUGAAAUCCUAGGGCUGAACCAUGGAACUGCAUUUGAAACUGUUAUUCUAGAGUAUGGGAGAGGUAGGUGGAAUGCUUGGUGUAGGGGUAAAAUCCGUAGAGAUCAAGAGGAAUACUCAUCGCGAAGGCGACCUGCUAGAACAUAACUGACGCUGAGGCGCGAAAGCGUGGGGAGCAAACAGGAUUAGAUACCCUAGUAGUC